rnacentral:rRNA from 1 species
AUUGAACGCUGGCGGCAGGCUUAACACAUGCAAGUCGAGCGGAGAGAGGUAGCUUGCUACUGAUCUUAGCGGCGGACGGGUGAGUAAUGCUUAGGAAUCUGCCUAUUAGUGGGGGACAACAUUUCGAAAGGAAUGCUAAUACCGCAUACGUCCUACGGGAGAAAGCAGGGGAUCUUCGGACCUUGCGCUAAUAGAUGAGCCUAAGUCGGAUUAGCUAGUUGGUGGGGUAAAGGCUUACCAAGGCGACGAUCUGUAGCGGGUCUGAGAGGAUGGUCCGCCACACUGGGACUGGGACACGGCCCAGACGCCUACGGGAGGCAGCAGUGGGGAAUAUUGGACAAUGGGCGCAAGCCUGAUCCAGCCAUACCGCGUGUGUGAAGAAGGCCUUAUGGUUGUAAAGCACUUUAAGCGAGGAGGAGGCUACUUUAGUUAAUACCUAGAGAUAGUGGACGUUACUCGCAGAAUAAGCACCGGCUAACUCUGUGCCAGCCGCCGCGGUAAGAC